rnacentral:rRNA from 1 species
GACGAACCGUGCGAACGUUAUUCGGAAUCACUGGGCUUAAAGCGCGUGUAGGCGGGCCGGCACGUCGGUCGCUGAAAUCCCCCGGCUCAACCGGGGAAGGGGCGCCGAAACGACCGGCCUGGAGGGGGGUAGGGGAGAACGGAAUUCCCGGUGUAGCGGUGAAAUGCGCAGAUAUCGGGAGGAACACCGGUGGCGAAGGCGGUUCUCUGGGCCUGUACUGACGCUGAGGAGCGAAAGCGUGGGGAGCGAACAGG